rnacentral:rRNA from 1 species
CCUACGGGAGGCAGCAGUGAGGAAUAUUGGUCAAUGGGCGCGAGCCGGAACCAGCCAAGUAGCGUGAAGGAUGACUGCCCUACGGGUUGUAAACUUCUUUUAUAAAGGAAUAAAGUGAGGCACGUGUGCCCUUUUGUAUGUACCUUAUGAAUAAGGAUCGGCUAACUCCGUGCCAGCAGCCGCGGUAAUACGGAGGAUCCGAGCGUUAUCCGGAUUUAUUGGGUUUAAAGGGAGCGUAGUUGGGUUGUUAAGUCAGUUGUGAAAGUUUGCGGCUCAACCGUAAAAUUGCAGUUGAUACUGGCAGCCUUGAGUACAGUUGAGGUAGGCGGAAUUCGUGGUGUAGCGGUGAAAUGCUUAGAUAUCACGAAGAACUCCGAUUGCGAAGGCAGCCUACUAAACUGCAACUGACGUUGAUGCUCGAAAGUGUGGGUAUCAAACAGGAUUAGAUACCCUAGUAGUC